AUGAACGCUGGCGGCGUGCUUAACACAUGCCAGUCGAACGGAAAGGCCCAAGCUUGCUUGGGUACUCGGGUGGCGAACGGGUGAGUAACACGUGGGUGAUCUGCCCUGCACUUCGGGAUAAGCUUGGGAAACUGGGUCUAAUACCGGAUAGGACCACCCUUUGGCUGGUGUGGUGGAAAGUUUUUCGGUGUGGGAUGAGUUCGCGGCCUAUUAGCUUGUUGGUGGGGUAAUGGCCUACCAAGGCGUCGACGGGGAGCCGGCCGGCGGGGGGGGACGGCCACAAUGGGGCUGAGGAACGGGCCAGGCUCCUACGGGAGGCAACAAGGGGGAAAUUUGCACAAUUGGGGCGAAGCUUGUGCAACGACGGCGCGGGGGGGGAGACGGCCUUCGGGUUGGAAACUCCUUUCGCUAGGGACGAAGCGUUAUGUGACGGUACCUGGUGAAGAAGCACCGGCUAACUACGUG
rnacentral:rRNA from 1 species